AAUGUCUUUCUAUCUAUUUGAGACAUGACUUCAUUUCUGGAUCACGAGACUCUUUGCUUGAAGGGACUACAUAAGGAGGUGCAAACCCCUCCUUCCUCAGCUCAGACUGAGUUCAGCCUAGACCCUUCUAGCUGGACUUAGUCUUUUCUCACCUUCUUCUUUAUCUUUGAUUCCGGGCUCACUUGAAUACUUCGAUCUUCUCUCAGAUAUGAGAUUAAUCUAGUCAAGUGCAAUUUGACCUGCAAAUGCUCUAUAGAAGUGGAUGAUGACGAAGCCUUCAUCCAAAAAUCCACAGAGGAGACCACAGUGGGAAUCUACAUUCUUAAAUUCCAUGACAGAUCAGAUGACAUCGGGAUUGUUCUGGAAGGCCAGAACAUCUUGCAAGGCUUGGACAACUUUGCGUUAGCUAUGGCAAUGCUUUUUGGUCUUAUGUAUGCCUUAAAUCUCAACUACCCACCUGAAAUAAAAAAUACAUUUGAGGUACUGCAGAAGAUAGUCUUCUGUUUUUUAAUAACUUGAUACUGUUCGUUUACUUCUGUAGCACAUACAUAAAAAUGAAUUGUACUCUUAAUAGAAAUACAUGAAUUUGACUUUUUAUGAUUUUAAAAUUGAAAACAAAAAUGUCAAGGUAUGCUUUUGACAACUUGAUAUUGUUCACCUUUUCCUCUACACCUGUUUGACGGUGUAUUUGUCUUAAUGUUUGUUUUGUUGCAGUUAUUGUAUGAAUGGUUAUUACUGUUCACCUUUUCCACAAUAUGUUUGUGCAUUGUCUUUUACUUGAAGUGAUGAAUAAAUGAAAUGAGUAAAGUGAUAUGAGUACUUA